CCUACGGGGGGCAGCAGUAGGGAAUCUUCUACAAUGGGCGAAAGCCUGAUGGAGCAACGCCGCGUGGGUGAAGAAGGUCUUCGGAUCGUAAAACUCUGUUGUUAGAGAAGAAAGUGCGUGUGAGUAACUGUUCACGUUUCGACGGUAUCUAACCAGAAAGCCACGGCUAACUACGUGCCAGCAGCCGCGGUAAUACGUAGGUGGCAAGCGUUAUCCGGAUUUAUUGGGCGUAAAGGGAACGCAGGCGGUCUUUUAAGUCUGAUGUGAAAGCCUUCGGCUUAACCGGAGUAGUGCAUUGGAAACUGGGAGACUUGAGUGCAGAAGAGGAGAGUGGAACUCCAUGUGUAGCGGUGAAAUGCGUAGAUAUAUGGAAGAACACCAGUGGCGAAAGCGGCUCUCUGGUCUGUAACUGACGCUGAGGUUCGAAAGCGUGGGUAGCAAACAGGAUUAGAUACCCCAGUAGUC
rnacentral:rRNA from 1 species